rnacentral:rRNA from 1 species
AGGUCAAGCUACAAAGGGCGCAUGGUGAAUGCCUUGGCAUCAGGAGCCGAUGAAGGACGCGAUAAGCUGCGAUAAGCUUCGGGUAGACGCACAUAGUCAGAGAUCCGAAGAUUUCCGAAUGAGGAAACUCACAUGGGAAACCCCAUGUAUCAUAAAGUGAAUACAUGGCUUUAUGAAGGUAUACCCAGGGAACUGAAACAUCUAAGUACCUGGAGGAAGAGAAAGAAAAAUCGAUUUUCUUAGUAGCGGCGAGCGAAAAGGAAAGAGCCCAAACCAGAGAUUUAUCUCUGGGGUUGCGGACAGAACAUAACGAGAAAUCAUAGUUAAUUGAACACAACUGGAAAGUUGGACCACAGGGGGUAAUAGUCCCGUAAGUGAAAACUAUGAUAAUCAGUUCUGCACCAGAGUACCACGAGACACGUGAAACCUUGUGGGAAGCAGGGAGGACCACCUCCCAAGGCUAAAUACUACCUGAUGACCGAUAGUGAAGCAGUACCGUGAGGGAAAGGUGAAAAGAACCCCGGGAGGGGAGUGAAAUAGAACCUGAAACCAUGUGCCUACAACCGAUCAGAGCACCUUAUGUGUGUGAUGAUGUGCUUUUUGUAGAACGAGCCAACGAGUUACNACAUCUAAGUACCUGGAGGAAGAGAAAGAAAAAUCGAUUUUCUUAGUAGCGGCGAGCGAAAAGGAAAGAGCCCAAACCAGAGAUUUAUCUCUGGGGUUGCGGACAGAACAUAACGAGAAAUCAUAGUUAAUUGAACACAACUGGAAAGUUGGACCAUAGUGGGUAAUAGUCCUGUAAGUGAAAACUAUGAUAAUCAGUUCUGCACCAGAGUACCACGAGACACGUGAAACCUUGUGGGAAGCAGGGAGGACCACCUCCCAAGGCUAAAUACUACCUGAUGACCGAUAGUGAAGCAGUACCGUGAGGGAAAGGUGAAAAGAACCCCGGGAGGGGAGUGAAAUAGAACCUGAAACCAUGUGCCUACAACCGAUCAGAGCACCUUAUGUGUGUGAUGAUGUGCUUUUUGUAGAACGAGCCAACGAGUUACGGUAUGUAGCAAGGUUAAGUACUUAAGGUACGGAGCCGAAGGGAAACCGAGUCUUAAUAGGGCGACUAGUUGCAUGCUGUAGACCCGAAACCGGGUGACCUAUCCAUGGCCAGGUUGAAGCGAGGGUAAAACCUCGUGGAGGACCGAACCACGUUGCUGUUGAAAAAGCAUGNAGCUAAGGUCCCAAAGUGUAAGUUAAGUGGAAAAGGAUGUGGGAUUUCUAAGACAACUAGGAUGUUGGCUUAGAAGCAGCCACUCAUUAAAAGAGUGCGUAAUAGCUCACUAGUCAAGAGAUCCUGCGCCGAAAAUGUCCGGGGCUCAAACUUACCACCGAAGCUACGGGUUCACGCUAUUUUGCGUGAGCGGUAGAGGAGCGUCGUAAUCGGGCUGAAGUCGUACCGUAAGGAGCGGUGGACUGAUUACGAGUGAGAAUGUUGGCAUUAGUAGCGAGAUGUAGGCGAGAAUCCUACAGGCCGAAUAUCUAAGGUUUCCUGAGUAAAGUUUGUCUUCUCAGGGUUAGUCGGGACCUAAGGCGAGGCCGAAAGGCGUAGUCGAUGGACAAUUGGUUGNGGGAUUUCUAAGACAACUAGGAUGUUGGCUUAGAAGCAGCCACUCAUUAAAAGAGUGCGUAAUAGCUCACUAGUCAAGAGAUCCUGCGCCGAAAAUGUCCGGGGCUCAAACUUACCACCGAAGCUGCGGGUUCACGUGUAUAACGUGAGCGGUAGAGGAGCGUCGUAAUCGGGCUGAAGUCGUACCGUAAGGAGCGGUGGACUGAUUACGAGUGAGAAUGUUGGCAUUAGUAGCGAGAUGUAGGCGAGAAUCCUACAGGCCGAAUAUCUAAGGUUUCCUGAGUAAAGUUUGUCUUCUCAGGGUUAGUCGGGACCUAAGGCGAGGCCGAAAGGCGUAGUCGAUGGACAAUUGGUUGAUAUUCCAAUACCACUAUAAUCGUUAUUAUCGAUGGUGUGACGGAGAAGGAUAGGAUGUGCUAGCUAUUGGAUGCUAGUCUAAGCGUUUAGGGAGUUGGAAUUGGCAAAUCCGUUCCAACAAUUCUGAGGCGUGAUGGGGAAGGUUCUACGGAACCGAAGUAUCUGAUUCCAUGCUUCCAAGAAAAGCAUCUAGAAAGAGAAGUAGUGCCCGUACCGCAAACNNNNNNNNNNNNNNNNNNNNNNNNNNNNNNNNNNNNNNCGGGAGAAGGGGUGCCUGAGAAAUCAGGCCGCAGAGAAUAGGCACAAGCAACUGUUUAACAAAAACACAGGUCUCUGCUAAAGCGAAAGCUGAUGUAUAGGGGCUGACGCCUGCCCGGUGCUGGAAGGUUAAGGGGAACACUUAGCGAAGUUUCGCGAAGGUGUGAACUUAAGCCCCAGUAAACGGCGGCCGUAACUAUAACGGUCCUAAGGUAGCGAAAUUCCUUGUCAGGUAAGUUCUGACCCGCACGAAUGGCGUAAUGA